GCGAACAGGACGCAGCAGGUGAGGUUGGGACUAUCAACACUGGCGCACCCCAGGGAUGUGUGCUCUCCCUACCUGCUCUUCUCCCUCUACACCAACCUUUGCGCCAGCUCAGAAAGUACAACCUGCCUCAGGAGCUGCUGAUUCUGUUCUACUGUGCCAUCAUCCACUCUGUUCACUGUAUCACUGUGUGGUUUGGAUCGGCCACCAAACAGAACCGAGCCAGACUACAACGGAUUGUCAGGUCUGCAGAGAGAACUAUUGGUUCCAGCCUGCCCUCCAUCCUGGAUUUGUACACCUCCAGAGUCAGGAAACGGGCUGCCAAGAUCACUGCAGACCUUCACACCCUGGACACAAGCUGUUCCAACUCCUCCCCUCUGGAUGGCGCUACAGAGCACCGUACGCCAAAACCACCAGACACAGGAACAGCUUCUUUCCACAAGCCGUCACUCUGAUGAACAAUUAACAAGACACCUCCAUCUGCACCACUUUAUAUUGUACAUAUCCGUAAUGUUUAUGCUUAGUUUUUGUGUUCUAUUUCGUUGUGCUUAAAGUCUUUUUUCAGUUUAUUUGUAUAUCUAUGUAUCCCAGAGCAACGUGUAACCGGAGACAAAUUCCAUGUAUGUGCAAACAUUCUGAUUAUGAAGUAGAGUGUAGGUGGAACAUUAUUGCAGUUUUUCCAACAUUUCCCCCUUCGCAUGUCCCCCUUCGUAUAAACAACGAAGUAUAACUACAAAUGAAAAGGAAAAAAUAAAAGAAUGUUUAAUCAAACUAAUUGAAUAAUUGCAUAAAACCAAGAUAUAAAAGAAAUCUAGAAUUUCACCUGGAUUACUAAAACCAACAAAUAUCUUACAACAUACAGAAAUUAACUUUAUUCAUCAUUUCAUCACUCAUUGCAGUUUUGGACUAAUAAAUCAUCGUUUCAUAAUCCGGUGUCAGCAUUGUAUUCAAAUAAGGCCAUUGAGGCGUUGCUGUAAUCUGUCAGGGGAUUGAGAUGAUCUCCCCCAGCAUGCUGCAGUUUCCCUGAUUCUCAUCGUCUUGUUGAGAAUUCUGUUGGUUAUUCAUGGUAGCAUCCACCCGACGCUGCUGUAGCCUCCAAUCCCAAGUAUUAGAGGCACCCAAACACAACGAGGAGCGAUACAUCCACUGAGAUCAAAAUAAACAGUGAUAAGACAAAUUAUUUAAUUUGCCAAACUGUGAUUCCAGCAUUCUACUGAAAGGUGUGGCAUUUAUUUGUGCAGUUUGUACAUCAUAAUCUGGUGUGUUUGUUGAUCCGUCACUGGGGGUCCGCCUCGCCCUCCCGCUGCUCCUCCCCUCCCCCACCGCCAUCUCCUCGACUCCAAUGUCCACUUUUCAAUAGUGAUCACACAACGUUGUCAACCGGAAAGGUAACCGGAAAGUCUUUGCCCAUCAAUGUUUCUUCUUCUUUUUUUCGUCCCUGGUACAACUUCUCUGCUGCUUUGUCAGGGCUCUUACUUUGUCAGCUUGGAAUCGUUUGUGCUGACAAAACUGUCUUUGUUCUCCCAAAGCUCUGCUUCCUUGCCAUUUCAAUUUCAUGACAAGGUCUAAAGGAGUAAAUGUUCUCUUUAAUUCUGUGGAUCUUCAGUCUUGCCAAAUGAGUCCCGCUUUCUUUGCUCGUCAGAUUCUCGUCGUCAGAUUUCAGAUCGUCCAAGCAUGUACUGUUCAUUGAUGGGGCUGUAGAUGUUCGUUCUUCUUCAUCCUUGGUGGGGUGUGGUGAGAGGUUGGCAGUGCCGAGGGAGAUCACAGCUGGUGGCCAAGCGGAGUCCAGCCCACUCGUAUGAUAAAAACAAAAACGACCAAGUUCAGUCUACUAUUUUCUACCAAUUCUAGACAUACUUCUUUUACAUUUUCUUAUAUAUGUAUUUAUCUUAUCUUAUCUUACUUAGGAAUUGUGCUUCUGUUAAAUAUGUAUGUUUGUAUAUAUAUUCUAUUGUAGUGAAUGUGACUGCAUAAUUCACCUUUGUUCUUGUUUUGUUGUACACGCAAUUGCGACUGUUCCGGGAUCACGGUCCCUUUAAAUGUUUUGUUAUGUUGUGACGUAGAGUCCCUUGCUUGUGAGGUUACAGGGCUGCGCCAUCUUGAUGUUGUUAUGGUAAUAAUAAACGAGACACACGCUGCUGUUCUCAACUCGCGGAAUUGCCUUUCAUUACAAACGCAACUUCCACACUAUUACCAUUAAUGUAACAAAACCAAAAAGUACUUGUGGUCUAGGUGGCACCAUUGCUUACCAAUUCCUGCGUUGCAGAUCCACCACUGAGCUCCAUCCUACAGACCCCACUAAACCCCCGGGCGUUCCCUCUAAAAGUGACCCUAAUGGCUUCCACUUGGGUUCUUCACUGGUUCCAGCUAGGUGAUGUGGUGGAAGAUUUUGCACAGACAAUCGUUAAGUAAGAAACAAAGGCUCUGAGUCAAGUAUGUCUUUUCUCCGUUUAUUUCCUUGCAAUGGAAAAAGGGUCACAACAGCUACGUGGUCAGUAGACUGUCAACAACCUCCUUUUUUUCCCAACACAUCGAGGCAGUUCUUAUACCUAAAUUUAGAUAUCGGUGGCGUCAACAGAAACCUUUGACCAUCUUGUUGAGUAUCUACAGCCAGGGUACUGGGAACAUCUUAUCCAUGUAAGACACGUCAGUUCUUUGACCGUGUCCUUGCUCUCCCAACAUGCUAAAACAAAGGUGGUCAUAGACAUAACAAACACUUCAAUCUCUACAGCUAUGACGCUGGAAACAUCUAAUCCAAGAGGGAGACAUCAGUUCUUAUGUCAGGGCCUUUGUGACCUAAGCACUUGCAACUAAUACACUGGUUAUACAAAUGAAGCAUUUAAAAGGGUCACAUAUCAUUUUCCCAUUACAGUGACCUUAUUGAACUCAUCUCCCUGGUGUGAGGUCUCAACCCCAGCGUGGCGGCAGGAGGCCGCAAGGGGGCGCCGACGAACGCGUCCUCCGGAGCCAAUCACCGGAAUUCGGAACACCCACGAGAGAGGAGACCUAUAAGAGCAGGCCGACGCAGCGCGCAAAGUGUGAGGUAUUGCAAGUACGCUUCUCUGCUGAACCCUUUGUUUCGCUGCCCCUGAAUUCCCGUAGAACCAGUGAGCUUCCGUGUAUCGACCUUCCGCCUUCUCUCGACUACGAACCUGCCUACUCCCUGGAUCAGAUCCGUCUCUUGCCAUCCCGUGUCUCCGAACCACUGCCUGUCCCCGGAUUCCCCGUACUGCCUUUUCCCUUGAGACUACAGUUGCCUGUAGUCCCAAAUAAACAUUGAGAGCUCUGCUCUUGGGUCUCAGUCUGUCUCCUGAGUCCAUUCGUUACACCUGGUUAGCCAGCCACACCUCGGAGGAGUCAGGUAUCUGCAAAAGUGAGAGUCUACCACGAUCCCUGGGAGCAGGACGAGGUCUUGGUGACUUCUGCGCUUAUGAAAGUUCAAUCUUUUGUUUUGUUUCCUCUCAUUUGUUAAUUUUGUUUAACAAAUGGUUUAAACUUGGUAAAAUAAUGAGUUACAUUACAUUACAUGUCAUUUAGCUGAUACUUUUAUCCAAAGCGACUUACAAUAAGUGCAUUCAACCAUAGGGAUACAAACUCAGAAGAACAAGAAACAAGAAAGUGCAAUUUCAUCAAAUAAGCCAAUUUUAAAUUUGCUAUAGAUAAGUGGCGUUACAAGUAUAAUUUAAGUGCUAAAAUUUGUUAGUAUUUCAGUGGAGGUAGAGUCUUAAGAGGUGUAUCUUUAGUUUGGGGUGGAAGUUGUGAAGGCUCUCUGUGGUCCUGGUGUCUUCAGAGAGCUCGUUCCACCAUUUAGGAGCAGGACAGCAAAGAGUCGUUGUGGUGGCGGGGGUGUGGUUAGCUCAGCUGCAGGGGGGAGAGCGGGGGAGUGGUUCAGGGGACGGCGCCGGCAGGAGAGUAAGGAGCACAGGUGGAAAUGAUCAGAACUGAUUGUGUGUCUCUUGAAAAGCAGUGAGCAGGGACCUGGAGAGAAAAAGACUCUGCAGCAGACGCUCAGGGGCAAGGCCGAGGAGGACAAACACGGCAAACCUGCUCACUGCAGGAAAUAAAAUAAAACAUAUUGCUCUGAAGAACCGUGUCUCUGUGCGUCCUUACGCGAACCCCAAAGGUGGUAGCUCGAACCUGCUACAGUGGCGGCCAACGUGGGGAUGGACGUAAAUGACAGAGAGGGACCGAUGCAGCCGGCGAUCACACUCUGCCGGAUGCUGGGGGAGACCGCGGUAAUGUUUGCGGUGCUCGGUGGUGACAGGUCAGGAAAAUACCCAAUUAUUGUACCGAAAAGCCGCCAGGAAAUAAUUUUCCAGGCGGCUCACUAUGACCCGAUGGCGGGCCACAUGGGUAGCGAUAAAACUCUGGAUCGGAUAGUGGCCCGAUUUUACUGGCCAGGCAUCUGGGCGGAUGUGCGGAUGUGCCCUUUGUGGUCACACGCCAGGUAGGGGACGUCGACUAUGAGGUGGUGCGAUCUGAAAGGGGCGGGGCCACACAGAUCUACCAUCUCAACCGCCUCAAAGCAUGGAGGGAGGCGAAGUCCGUGUCCCUGGUGUCUGCAGUAGCGGAGAGGAGCUGGGGCCAGAGGUCCCAAAGUCCACCUAUCUGACCCGGCUCCCGUUUGACGCCCAUCUCUCUGCAGCCCAGCAAGCGGACAUAGCCGGGUUGCAAGACCAAUUUAAUAAUGUGUUCUCCUCUCUGCCAGGUCACACGGAUCUCAUAGCACAUCACAUUGAGACGUCCCCGGGCGUGACGGUGCGGUCACGGCCCUACAGGUUACCUGAACACAAAAGGAAAAUUGUUCAGCGAUAAUUGGCCGCUAUGCUGGAGAUGAGGGUAAUAGAGGAGUCCAACAGCGCCUGGUGCUGCCCCAUCGUUCUUGUCGCCAAGAAGGACGGCUCGAUAAGGUUCUGCGUGGACUAUCGCAGGGUGAAUGCGGUGUCACGGUUUGAUGCGUACCCGAUGCCCCGGGUCGACGAAUUCCUGGACCGAUUGGGCACCGUGCAUUUUUUUUUACAACACUGGAUUUGACCAAGGGCUACUGGCAGAUUCCCUUUUCACCAGAGUCCAGGGAAAAGUCGGCUUUCUCCACUCCGUUUGGAUUAUACCAAUUCACCACGCUUCCCUUCGGGUUGUUCGGUGCCCCGGCCACCUUCCAGCGCCUCAUGGACCGGGUGCUGCGUCCGCAUGCCCCGUAUGCUGCUGCCUACCUGGAUGACAUCAUCAUACACAGCACCGGGCGGAGCAUGUGCGGCGGGUGGGCGCGGUGCUGGAGUCCCUGAGGCAGGCCGGGCUCACCGCCAACCCGGGGAAAUGUGCAGUUGGACGGAGGGAGGUACGGUAUUUGGGGUACCACUUGGGCGGCAGGAGGGUGCGCCCUCAGGUGGACAAAACUCGCAGCCAUCGCAGCCGGCCCUCGGCCCAAGACAAAAAAAGAGGUGAGGCAGUUUUUGGGGCUGGCAGGCUACUACAGGAGGUUCAUCCCGGGCUUUGCGGAGCUGACCAGCCCCUUGACUGACGUGACCCGGAAAGGUGCCUCAGAUCCGGUCCAGUGGACGGAGCGGUGCCAGUGGGCAGUUGAGGGGGUGAAACGAGCCCUCUGUGGGGAACCACUGCUCCAUACACCUAACUUCUCUCUCCCUUUUGUCUUGCAGACUGAUGCGUCGAACAGAGGGCUGGGGGCCGUUUUGUCCCAGCAGGUGCAGGGGGUGGACCGCCCGGUCCUCUACAUCAGCCGGAAACUGUCGGAGCGAGAGGCCAGGUACAGUACUGUGGAGAAAGAGUGCCUGGCCAUCCGGUGGGCGGUUGACUCCCUGCGGUACUACCUUCUGGGACGCCAGUUCACCCUCUGUUCGGACAAUGCCCCGCUGCAGUGGCUCCACCGCAUGAAGGUUGCCAACGCGGUGCCAACGUGGCGGACUUCCUCUCCCGCCCUCAGGAGGGAGGGGGGAGUCAGUUCGGCCGGAUGCCUCCCCGGCCUAAGUCGGGCGGUGGGGGUAUGAGGUGGCGGGGUGUGGUUAGCUCAGCUGCAGGGGGUAGAGCGGGGGAGUGGUUCAGGGGACGGCAGGAGAGUAAGGAGCACAGGUGGAAAUGAUCAGAACUGAUUGUGUGUCACUUGAAAAGCAGUGAGCAAGACCUGGAGAGAAAAAGACUCUGCAGCAGACGCUCAGGGGCAAGGCCGAGGAGCGGAGCAGAGCCGAGGAGGACAACCUCGCCAAACCUGCUCACUGCAAGGAAAUGAAAUAAAAGAUAUUGCUCCAAAGAAUCGUGUCUCCGUGCGUCCUUACGCGAACCCCAAAGGUGGUAGCUCAAACCUGCUACAGUCGUAAUCUAGUUGAGUGUUUUGCUCUCAGUGAGGAGGAACAAGCAGUUUAUUAGAUGCAGAGCCGAGAGUGCGGGUCGGGAUGUAGGGUUUGACCAUGUCCUGGAUGUAAGCUGGACCCGCUCCAUUCACAGCAUGGUACGAGAGCACAAUGUUUUCAACGGAUGCGGGCAGGGACCGGUAGCCAGUGAAGAGAGCGGAGGAGUGGAGUAGUGUGGGAGAAUUUAGGAAGAUUAAAGACCAGUCGAGCUGCUGCAUUGUGGAUGAGCUGCAGAGGUUGAAUGGCGGUAGCAGGGAGACCUGUGUGAUGAAAAACAAUAUGUAACAUAUUGCUCUCUGAAUUAAAAUGUCGCAACAGUUUUUGUGUUAAAGAGUUGAAACAUAAUAUUCCAUGUGAGAUGUGUGAUUAAGAGGCAUAUUUAACAAAUCAUAGCAAUAUGUUUUUCAUCAUUUUAGCUAAUUUCAGUAUUUUUAGGUCAGGAUUGCAAAGCGGUCUGAGGUACUGCGUUCAGGUUGAAGAAUUCACUUCAAAAGUGUGAUGAAAAACAAAUGUAAUCUGUGACAGCAUGAUAUUUUUUAUAAUUUCCACUAUUUAACAUAUUUCUCAGUCAGGAUGGCCGGUCUAAGGCGCUGCGUUCAAAUCCCACUUCUGACAAAAGGUUAAAACAAGUGUUUUAAUUUCUGUAAAGUCCAAAACAAGAGGUUGCGAGGGAAACUGUGAAAAAGGCAUUCAUGUAACAAAUAAAUGUCCACUUACGUGAAUGUGUCUGUCACAAGGGAGGACGCUGCAGGUAUCAGACAUGAUUUUUCUCGCUCUUUUGUAAAAAAGGAUGUGCAAUUCAAUGAUAUAUGAAAUGUAGGUUAUCCUGCUAUUUGUCAUAAUUUCAAUGUUUGAGGUAUUUUACAGUCAGGAUGGCCGAGUGGUCUAAGGCGCUGCGUUAAGGUCGCAGUCUCCCCUGGAGGCGUGGGUUCAAAUCCCACUUCUGACAGAAGGUUAAGACAAGUGUUUUAAUAUCUGUAAAGUCCAAAACAAGAGGUUGCGAGGGAAACCGUGAAAAAGGCAUUCAUGUAACAAAUAAAUGUCCAGUUACGUGAAUGUGUAUGUGCCACAAGGGAGGACGCUGCAGGUAUCAGACAUGAUAUUUCUCGCUCUUUUGUAAAAAAGGAUGUGCAAUUCAAUGAUAUAUGAAAUAUAGGUUAUCCUAGUAUUUGUCAUAAUUUCAGUGUUUGAGGUAUUUUACAGUCAGGAUGGCCGAGUGGUCUAAGGCGCUGCGUUAAGGUCGCAGUCUCCCCUGGAGGCGUGGGUUCAAAUCCCACUUCUGACAGAAGGUUAAGACAAGUGUUUUAAUAUCUGUAAAGUCCAAAACAAGAGGUUGCGAGGGAAACCGUGAAAAAGGCAUUCAUGUAACAAUAAAUGUCCACUUACGUGAAUGUGUAUGUGCCACAAGGGAGGACGCUGCAGGUAUCAGAGCUGAUAUUUCUCGCUCUUUUGUAAAAAAGGAUGUGCAAUUCAAUGAUAUAUGAAAUGUAGGAUAUCCUGCUAUUUGUCAUAAUUUCAAUGUUUGAGGUAUUUUACAGUCAGGAUGGCCGAGUGGUCUAAGGCGCUGCUUUAAGGUCGCAGUCUCCCCGGGAGGCGUGGGGUCAUAUCACACUUCUGACAGAAG
ensembl:lncRNA